rnacentral:rRNA from 1 species
UACCCUGGGCGACACACACGCUACAAUGGGUGGUACAGUAGGUAGCGAAGGAGCGAUCCGGAGCAAAUCCUUAAAACCAUCCUCAGUACGGAUUGCAGGCUGAAACCCGCCCUGCAUGAAGCCGGAGUUGCUAGUAACCGCAUAUCAGCAUGGUGCGGUGAAUACGUUCGUCGGGCCUU